AUAAUACUCCCUCCGUCCAACAAAAGAUGUCUCAAGUUUGUCAAAAUUUGGAUGUAUCUAGACGUGACUUAGUGUAUAGAUGCAUUCAAAUUUAGUCAAAGUUGAGACAUACUUUGUUGGACGGACGGAGUAUAAC
rfam:Brachypodium distachyon strain Bd21 chromosome 4, whole genome shotgun sequence.